rnacentral:rRNA from 1 species
UAGGGAAUCUUCCACAAUGGACGCAAGUCUGAUGGAGCAACACCGCGUGAGUGAAGAAGGGUUUCGGCUCGUAAAGCUCUGUUGUUAAAGAAGAACGUGGGUAAGAGUAACUGUUUACCCAGUGACGGUAUUUAACCAGAAAGCCACGGCUAACUACGUGCCAG